GUUAGCUUGGCCGAGUUGGUUAAGGCGGUAGACUUAAGCUCUACUGACGAAAGUCUCGUGCGUUCGAAUCGCACAGCUAACA